AUAAAGGCAAUUUUUGUUUAUCAGGAUCCCGAUCGAGCUGGUAGAGGAAUGGGAAUACUCCAGAUGUGGUGUACUCAUUCACGCCUUUCACUACAGGAGGCACGUGGCUGUAUGGAUGAUGCACAGGAUGCCGUGUUUGUAAAUGAGGAUGGACCUAAACAACUCUGGUUUGAAAGGCAGGACCACUGUGACCCGGAUUCACAGCUGGAACAAAGGAACAAGUAUGGAUUACAUGUAAUGUCAUCUACAGGGUGCCGUCAGGGACAUAAAUCACCAUCGAUUGCCCUGCCUCGGAGCCGCAAGCGUGCGCACGUGUGAAUCGAAG